rnacentral:rRNA from 1 species
CUUNCANCAAGAAAGAAAAAAUAAAAUCUAAUAUAUUUUAUCAUUGACGUUACUUGUAAAAGAAGCACCGGCUAACUCCGUGCCAGCAGCCGCGGUAAUACGGAGGGUGCGAGCGUUAAUCGGAAUUACUGGGCGUAAAGAGCACGUAGGCUGUUAAUUAAGUCAGAUGUGAAAUCCCUAAGCUUAACUUAGGAACUGCAUUUGAAACUARUUAACUUGAGUUUCGUAGAGGGGGGUAGAAUUCCAGGUGUAGCGGUGAAAUGCGUAGAUAUCUGGAGGAAUACCAGUGGCGAAGGCGRCCCCCUGGACGAAUACUGACGCUCAGGUGCGAAAGCAUGGGGAGCAAACAGGAUUAGAUACCCUGGUAGUCCAUGCCGUAAACAAUGUCGACUUGAAGGUUGUAAGCUUGACUUAUAGCUUUCGUAGCUAACGCGUUAAGUCGACCGCCUGGGGAGUACGACCGCAAGGUUAAAACUCAAAUGAAUUGACGGGGGCCCGCACAAGCGGUGGAGCAUGUGGUUUAAUUCGAUGCAACGCGAAAAACCUUACCUGGUCUUGACAUCCAUGGAAUUUAAUAGAGAUAUUUUAGUGCCUUCGGGAACCAUGAGACAGGUGCUGCAUGGCUGUCGUCAGCUCGUGUUGUGAAAUGUUGGGUUAAGUCCCGCAACGAGCGCAACCCUUAUCCUUUGUUGCCAUCAGUUAGGCUGGGAACUCAAAGGAGACUGCCGGUGAUAAACCGGAGGAAGGUGAGGACGACGUCAAGUCAUCAUGGCCCUUACGACCAGGGCUACACACGUGCUACAAUGGUAUAUACAAAGGGAAGCAUCCUCGUAAGAGUAAGCGAAUCUCACAAAAUAUAUCUUAGUUCGGAUUAGAGUCUGCAACUCGACUCUAUGAAGUCGGAAUCGCUAGUAAUCGUAGAUCAGAAUGCUACGGUGAAUACGUUCCCGGGCCUUGUACACACCGCCCGUCACA